AUUUCACCAGGUGGUCUAGUCUAGACCUAGAAAGGUUUUCAAAACCCUUAUGUACAA
rnacentral:tRNA from 1 species